UACGUAGGGUGCGAGCGUUGUCCGGAAUUAUUGGGCGUAAAGAGCUCGUAGGCGGUGUGUCGCGUCGGCCGUGAAAACCUGGGGCUCAACCCUGGGCGUGCGGUCGAUACGGGCAUCACUUGAGUUCGGCAGGGGAGACUGGAAUUCCUGGUGUAGCGGUGAAAUGCGCAGAUAUCAGGAGGAACACCGGUGGCGAAGGCGGGUCUCUGGGCCGAUACUGACGCUGAGGAGCGAAAGCAUGGGUAGCGAACAGG
rnacentral:rRNA from 1 species